rnacentral:tRNA from 1 species
GCUCAGUUGGUUAGGCGUCCAACUCUUGAUUUCAGCUCAGGUCAUGAUCUCACAGGUGGGUUCAAGCCCCACACUGGGCU